rnacentral:rRNA from 1 species
GACGAACGCUGGCGGCGUGCCUAAUACAUGCAAGUAGAACGAGUUGCGAACGGGUGAGUAACGCGUGGUAACCUGCCUCAUAGCGGGGGAUAACUAUUGGAAACGAUAGCUAAUACCGCAUACUGUGAGAUGGACCUGCGUUGUAUUAGCUAGUUGGUGAGGUAAAGGCUCACCAAGGCGACGAUCCCUAGCUGGUCUGAGAGGAUGACCAGCCACACUGGAACUGAGACACGGUCCAGACUCCUACGGGAGGCAGCAGUGGGGAAUAUUGCACAAUGGGCGCAAGCCUGAUGCAGCCAUGCCGCGUGUAUGAAGAAGGCCUUCGGGUUGUAAAGUACUUUCAGCGGGGAGGCGUUACCCGCAGAAGAAGCACCGGCUAACUCCGUGCCAGCAGCCGCGGUAAUUC